AAAGGUGUGUAGAUCAUGCAAAGAAGUAACUUUCUGACACAAACUCUCAGUUAGAUAACACAUGCUCAUAACUUACUUUUCCUUUCGGUAACCUAGCGACAAAUUGUUUAUCAAACUGUCUAUGACAACUUGAAAUACGUAAGGACAGUUAAAUUUUUAAUCUGAGAUUGAAAAAUGCUAAAUCAUGUUCUAUUGAAAAGGUCGACCUUUUCAUCCCGCAGUGACAAAAAAUCAUAUACUUACCACGGGCGAUUAGUACGACAUCCUCGCCCGCGAUUUUGUCACCAGAGCGGAAGGCGAGGUUAUGACAAGCUGCAAAGGAAGAAAGUGAGUGAAGAUGAUAAAAUUAAAGUGAAAAAGACUUUAGCCUUCUAAAAUUAUCAGGCAUUCAAAUGUCAAUAGACCAAUUGUUGGAUUUGAAGAUUGUAUAUAGUAAUAGUACUUUUGUAAAACUUCAUCUUGAUAGUCCCAACUGAAAGUGGUCUGUACCGUUACACAUAAAUUCAGCAUUUCAACAGGAA